rfam:TPA: Bos taurus chromosome 11, whole genome shotgun sequence.
UCCCUCAUAGCUCAGUCGGUAAAGAAUCUGCCUGCAAUGCAGGAGACCCAGGUUCGAUUCCUGGGUUGGGAA